GCGUGAUCACGUGACCUGGGCUUUUUGCCAAAACGUCAGAGCGGCGUUUGUAAACAUAGGAUGACAUCUCGAGCCAGCAACACUGGAGCUUUUUAAUCGUUUCCCUCGGGGAAUUUUGUCUUCUCUUUAUAUAAACGGAACGGCUUUUUGAUGGCUCUCCGCUGCAAACAGUCACACGCAGUCGAGGCGAACUGUGCCCCACGUCACGGAAUUCUCCUUCGUUUCUUAUCUGAUGAGCAGAGAGGGGCAGACGAGCACGUUUUGGAUUAAAAAUAAUAAACAAAGAGAAAACCAGCUAAUACACUGCAUCAGUACCUAGAUGAUUAAUCUGCCUAUUUCUACCCGGCAAACUCUGCAGCAACAAUGACUGAGAAGAAAAGGAAGCGAUCUGUGUCUGUUGAGUUGUCCAGUGAGACUCCAACCAGUUCACAGAUGAGUACCACUCCCAGCAUGAGUAAGAGCGACAGAUCCAAGUUUGAGCCUCUCGGCUUUGAAAGUUCACAGUCCACGGGACCUGGAUCUGCAGCUCCGAGCGAUAUUUCUUUAAAGAGCGACAGAUCCAAGUUUGAGCCACUUGGUUUUAAGACACAAAGUUCACAGUCGACGGCUUCGUCUGAGUCCAUGUCAUUGAAGAGCGACAGAUCCAAGUUUGAGCCACUCGGUUUUAAGACACAAAGGUAAUUCUCAUUUAUUUUAAAAGUACCUAACACUCACUCCUAACUAUCUACUCUCAGCCUUGAAAUAACCAAGACUGACAAAUGCAUUUGUGAAGAUUUGUGAUGAAAAAUGUUUCAAAUGAAUUCU